rnacentral:rRNA from 1 species
GACGAACGCUGGCGGCGUGCUUAACACAUGCAAGUCGAACGGAAAGGCCCUGCUUUUGUGGGGUGCUCGAGUGGCGAACGGGGGAGUAAAACGUGAGUAACCUGCCCUUGACUUUGGGAUAACUUCAGGAAACUGGGGCUAAUACCGGAUAGGAGCUCCUGCUGCAUGGUGGGGGUUGGAAAGUUUCGGCGGUGGGGGAUGGACUCGCGGCUUAUCAGCUUGUUGGUGGGGUAGGGGCUGACAAAGGCUGUGACGGGUAGCCGGCCUGAGAGGGUGACCGGCGACAUUGGGACUGAGAGACGGACCAGACGCGUACGGGAGGCAGCAGUGGGGAAUAUUGCGCAAUGGGCGGAAGCCUGAUGCAGCAACGCCGCGUGCGGGAUGACGGCCUUUGGGUUGUAAACCGCUUUCGCCUGUGACGAAGCGUGAGUGACGGUAAUUGGUAAAGAAGCACCGGCUAACUACGUG